rnacentral:lncRNA from 1 species
GCCUCCCGCUGUCUCUUGCUAACAGACAACAAGCUAUGGUCAGAACUAGGUCGAAGGCCAUUGUUAAGAAAGCCGUGGGCACUCAGGCAGAGGCCCCGCGUAAACGUGUGGGUGUCCAGGCCUCUGGAUGCAGGGAGUGGCGACAACACCUGUGUGAGAUGCCAACAGGUGAAUGAUCUCCUCAGCCUGGUGGUUGAGCUGAAGGAGGAAGUGGAAAGGUUGAGGACUAUCAGGGAGUGUGAGAAGGAGAUAGACUGGUGGGCCCACUCCCUGAGAGUAAGGGAACAUGUUGGGGCCCCACAUACAACAGAGGACCAUCCCCCCACUUCUCACCCGGCAGUAGAAGGGGACCUCGGAGAGGAGGGGGGAUGGAAAAAGGUCCCUGCUAGGCGAAGCAGGCAAAUCUCCUCCCUGCCCCUCCCACCUCCCCAGCUACCCCUCCAGAACCGAUACAGGAUCUUGGAAGAGGAACUGGCUGCUGGAGAGGAGGAUGGAACGUCUUGGCUAGAAACGCCAGAAAAACCAAGGGUCCUGCCUCAGAGUGGGAAGCGGAACCCUCAACAGCCUCCCCACACUCCCAGAUACACUUGUUCGGUGAUCUGGAUUUUGGGGAUGAGGCAGAUGAUGCUGGAGACAAUGAACUCCCCAGUGAGGCUCCCUGGAAUAGUCACCCAGCCCCGGGUCUCAGGACCUCAACGACUAAGAAAAAAAAGAAGGGUCAUUGUAAUCGGUGACUCCCUUUUGUAUGGUACAGAGGGCCCAAUCUGUAGGCCGGACCCGUCCCAUAGGGAAGUCACCUGCCUCCCUGGGGCCAGGACUAGGGACAUACUAAAUAAAACUCGCACCCUGGUUCAACCCUCGGACUACUACCCACUUCUGAUAUUUCAGGUGGGCCAUGAUGAGGUAAAUACUAGAAGCCUCAAGGCAAUGAGAAAGGAUUUCAGAAGUCUGGGACAACUAGUCAAGGGAUCAGGAGCACAGGUUGUGUUCUCCUCUAUCCCACUAGUCACAGGGCAGGAUGAAAGGAUAAAUAGGAAAAAACAACAGUUUAACUUAUGGCUGAAAGGCUGGAGUAAAAGCCAGGACUUUGGAUUCUUUGAGCACAGGCUGACUUACAGGUCACCAGGCAUGGUUGCAGCAGGUGGGGAAAGCCUAAGCCAAAGGGGAAAAAGGAUAUUGGGACAGGAGGUAGCACGGCUCAUUGAGAGGGCUUUAAACUAG